rnacentral:rRNA from 1 species
UGGGGAAUUUUGGACAAUGGGCGAAAGCCUGAUCCAGCAAUGCCGCGUGUGUGAAGGAGGCCUUCGGGUUGUAAAGCACUUUUGUCCGGAAAGAAAUCCUUGGCUCUAAUACAGUCGGGGGAUGACGGUACCGGAAGAAUAAGCACCGGCUAACUACGUGCCAGCAGCCGCGGUAAUACGUAGGGUGCAAGCGUUAAUCGGAAUUACUGGGCGUAAAGCGUGCGCAGGCGGUUUGCUAAGACCGAUGUGAAAUCCCCGGGCUCAACCUGGGAACUGCAUUGGUGACUGGCAGGCUAGAGUAUGGCAGAGGGGGGUAGAAUUCCACGUGUAGCAGUGAAAUGCGUAGAGAUGUGGAGGAAUACCGAUGGCGAAGGCAGCCCCCUGGGCCAAUACUGACGCUCAUGCACGAAAGCGUGGGGAGCAAACAGGAUUAGAUACCCUGGUAGUCCACGCCCUAAACGAUGUCAACUAGUUGUUGGGGAUUCAUUUCCUUAGUAACGUAGCUAACGCGUGAAGUUGACCGCCUGGGGAGUACGGUCGCAAGAUUAAAACUCAAAGGAAUUGACGGGG